rnacentral:rRNA from 1 species
GAUGAACGCUAGCGGCAGGCUUAAUACAUGCAAGUCGAGGGACAGCACAGGUAGCAAUACUGGGUGGUAACCGGCAAACGGGUGCGGAACACGUACACAACCUUCCUUUAAGUGGGGGAUAGCCCAGAGAAAUUUGGAUUAAUACCCCGUAAUAUAGUUGAAUGGCAUCAUUUGAUUAUUAUAGCUACGGCGCUUAAUGAUGGGUGUGCGGCUGAUUAGAUAGUUGGCGGGGUAACGGCCCACCAAGUCUACGAUCAGUAGCUGAUGUGAGAGCAUGAUCAGCCACACGGGCACUGAGACACGGGCCCGACUCCUACGGGAGGCAGCAGGAAGGAAUAUUGGUCGAUGGACGCAAGUUUGAACCAGCCAUGCCGCGUGAAGGAUUAAGGUCCUCUGGAUUGUAAACUUCUUUUAUUUGGGACGAAAAAGGGCCUUUCUAGGUCAACUGACGGUACCAGAUGAAUAAGCACCGGCUAACUCCGUGCCAGCCGCCGCGGUAA